GAUGAACGCUGGCGGCGUGCCUAAUACAUGCAAGUCGAGCGAACAGACGAGGAGCUUGCUCCUCUGACGUUAGCGGCGGACGGGUGAGUAACACGUGGAUAACCUACCUAUAAGACUGGGAUAACUUCGGGAAACCGGAGCUAAUACCGGAUAAUAUAUUGAACCGCAUGGUUCAAUAGUGAAAGACGGUUUUGCUGUCACUUAUAGAUGGAUCCGCGCCGCAUUAGCUAGUUGGUAAGGUAACGGCUUACCAAGGCGACGAUGCGUAGCCGACCUGAGAGGGUGAUCGGCCACACUGGAACUGAGACACGGUCCAGACUCCUACGGGAGGCAGCAGUAGGGAAUCUUCCGCAAUGGGCGAAAGCCUGACGGAGCAACGCCGCGUGAGUGAUGAAGGUCUUCGGAUCGUAAAACUCUGUUAUCAGGGAAGAACAAAUGUGUAAGUAACUAUGCACGUCUUGGCGGUACCUAAUCAGAAAGCCACGGCUAACUACGUG
rnacentral:rRNA from 1 species